AGAGUUUGAUCCUGGCUCAGAACGAACGCUGGCGGCGCGUUUUAAGCAUGCAAGUCGGACGGCAAGAGUGGUAGCAAUACUGCUCCUAGAGUGGCGAACGGGUGAGUAAGACGUAGGUGAUCUACCUCUGGAUGGGGGAUAGUCCGUGGAAACACGGGGUAAUACCGCAUGAGGCCUUGUGGGUGGAGCCAUGAGGUGAAAGGUGCAAUUGCAUCGUCUGGGGAUGAGCCUGCGGUCCAUUAGGUAGUUGGCGGGGUAAGAGCCCACCAAGCCGACGAUGGAUAGCCGGCCUGAGAGGGUGUACGGCCACACUGGAACUGAGACACGGUCCAGACUCCUACGGGAGGCAGCAGCUAAGAAUCUUCCGCAAUGGGGGAAACCCUGACGGAGCGACGCCGCGUGGACGAUGGAGGCCGUAAGGUUGUAAAGUCCUUUUCCUGGUGAAGAGUAGGUAGGGGAGUGGAAAGCCCCUAUGACGACGUUAGCCAGGGAAUAAGCCCCGGCCAAUUACGUGCCAGCAGCCGCGGUAAUACGUAUGGGGCAAGCGUUGUUCGGAGUUAUUGGGCGUAAAGGGCGUGUAGGCGGCUCAUCAAGUCUGGUGUGAAAUUGCAGGGCCCAACCCUGCAGGUGCGCUGGAAACUGGUGGGCUAGAGUUCUUGAGGGGAAGCUGGAAUUCCAGGUGUAGGGGUGAAAUCUGUAGAUAUCUGGAAGAACACCGGUGGCGAAGGCGAGCUUCUAUCAGAGGACUGACGCUGAGGCGCGAAAGCGUGGGGGAGCAAACAGGAUUAGAUACCCUGGUAGUCCACGCUGUAAACGAUGUGCACUAGGCGUGGGGGCACGUACGUGCUCUGKGCCGUAGCUAACGCGAUAAGUGCACCGCCUGGGGGAGUAUGCUCGCAAGGGUGAAACUCAUAGGAAUUUGACGGGRGCCGCACAAGCGGUGAGCAUGUGGCUUAUUCGAUGGUACACGAGGACCUUACCAGGUCUUGGACAUGUGCAG
rnacentral:rRNA from 1 species